UUGCAACUAUUAAUUCCAAAUCCUAAGAAAAAACAAGAUGAGAAUUUAUAACAAACAGCCACCAAUCUGCAUAGAAGAAAUGGAUUCUCUUAUCCUUUGACAGUUUUCUCUAGUUUUUUUCAUCAUCAUAUAAAAAUUCUAUAGGCAAUUAGCAAAACAUCUCACGAGUCAACUCAAAGUCAGAAAGUCGAUUAAAACGAUUUAGAAUUUAAAAAAUUCUUUCUAAUGCCCUUUUCAUGAUGCCCCUUUUCAACUCUACCUUUUUGUUUUAUCCAUUUUCAUUUCUACCCUCUUUAAAUUUUUAAUGACCAUUUUACCCUUAUUUGGAAAUUGUUUUAGGUUAACAAAAUGAAAUAUUAAUAUUUUUCGCCUAAAAUAUUCCAAAAUAAAUUUUCCGCCAAAAAAAUCCCGCCAAAAAAUUUCGAAAA
rnacentral:sRNA from 1 species